AAGAAUAUCAACUAGUAGGAUGUAUCCUGAAGUCCAUAUUCUGGAGAAAAUGGUUUUGUAUAAGGAUGAUUCGUUUCCUUUUUGAGUAGUUCAUGAUCAUUCUGAAAGAGAAUCCAAGUGGACACAACAAAACACACCUAUGCAAGGGUAUUGAUAUAUGCUUGGCUUUGUUAUUGGCUCAUUGCUGCAUCCAGCAAUUGCUUUCCUAAUGAUGUUUUCUCAUGUGAUGAUAGCUGAUGCAACGUGUAGAGAUCAGGACACGAACAAAUAUCUCAAGAAAAUAAAAUAAUACAACUCUCAAGCACACAGACAAUUGAUGGAAAAGCAAGAUAGCUUUAUUGAAAAUCUGGGGAAAAUUGAUAAGGACUACAAUGUAGCUAAUGAUGUAUU
rnacentral:misc_RNA from 1 species